CCUACGGGAGGCAGCAGUGGGGGAUAUUGCACAAUGGAGGAAACCCUGAUGCAGCGACGCCGCGUGGGCGAAGAAGUAUUUCGGUAUGUAAAGCCCUAUCAGCAGGGAAGAAGAAAUGACGGUACCUGAGUAAGAAGCACCGGCUAAAUACGUGCUAGCAGCCGCGGUAAUACGUAUGGUGCAAGCGUUAUCCGGAUUUACUGGGUGUAAAGGGAGCGCAGGGGGCACUGCAAGCCUGAUGUGAAAGCCCGCGGCCCAACCUCGGGACUGCAUUGGAAACUACCGGGCUUGAGUGCCGGAGGGGUAGGCGGAAUUCCUAGUGUAGCGGUGAAAUGCGUAGAUAUUAGGAGGAACACCAGUGGCGAAGGCGGCCUGCUGGACGGUGACUGACGCUGAGGCUCGAAAGCGUGGGGAGCAAACAGGAUUAGAUACCCUGGUAGUC
rnacentral:rRNA from 1 species